UAAACAAACAUGCGAAUACGUCGCUUUAGCAAAAUAAAAAUCACAUGGAAACACUAGGGACACACUAUAUUACAGAUUUUCAUAUGAUGUCGUAGUCCCCCAACCUUGUGAAUACGUUUUGAGAACAUACAUCACAACUUUUUAGGGUAAUGGUAAACGAUGAUUAAAAACCGUUGCUACGCACAUUGUCCCGAAUGUUUAAAUCAAAUGUAAAACUCUUAGGCGUUCGAGUCUAAGCCGUAAAGAGCCUGGCCACGGGACAUUCGCCGAUGCGAAUAUUCGCGCGGUGCGAACGGCGAAGCGUCUAGCGACUAAAACAAGCGCAUAGAAAUGUACCUAACAAGCCACGCGCACCGGCGACCGGCGAAGCGACCGGCGAAAUGUACCGAGCGAAUCGCGCGAUGCGGCGGGCGAGCAAAACAAAUGCAUGAAUACGGACGGCGCGAGCCACGGAGUCGAGCGGUAGUCGCGGCGAAUAGUACAGUGAUUAAAUGAGUUUAGUUGUUUUCGCCGCGAAAAAUUAACGCCGAAA